UAAGAGCACAGCAGCUGAAAAGAGGACAGGAGGAUAAGAAAAGAGAAACAAAAUUAGAAAAAGAAUAUAGAUUAAAAAAAACCAACAUAAACCAGAAAGAGAAAGACUGUUUUUAUUCUUCCAGACAUCUAUCCAGUAGACUGCAGGGAUUUCAGUUUGUGUCCAAGUGAGGGGGCAACACCAGUGUGACUGGAAGUAUACUGGGAGGACCAAGUGUUUUGUACGCACAGUGAGCUGCCAAGCUGCCAAGCACCAUGGCCAACAAUGUGAACGAGGAGUCAGACUGUAUCUCAGGGAAAGAUGAGCUGACCUGGGGCUACGAGGAAGGUGUAGAAUGGGGACUCCAUUUCCCAGCAGCCAACGGUGAAUACCAGUCUCCCAUUAAUUUAAACUCCAGAGAGGCCCAGUACGACCCCUCACUUCUGGAUGUUGGUUUAUCACCAAACUACGUGGUGUGUCGAGACUGUGAGGUCAUCAACGACGGACACACCGUCCGCAUCCUUCUCAAGUCCAAGUCAGUGGUGACUGGGGGUCCAUUGCCUAGCGACCACGAGUAUGAGCUUCACGAGGUGCGAUUCCACUGGGGCAAAGAAAACCAGAGAGGAUCCGAACACACUGUCAACUUCAAGGCUUUCCCUAUGGAGCUCCAUCUGAUUCACUGGAACAGCACUCUGUUCAACACGCUGGAGGACGCUCUGGGGAAGAAGAACGGAGUCCUCAUCAUCGCUCUGUUCGUGCAGAUUGGUAAAGAGCAUCUGGGUCUGAAGGCCAUCACUGAAGUUCUUCUGGACCUGCAGUACAAGGGGAAGAACAAGAUUAUCCCUUGUUUCAACCCAAACACUCUCUUGCCUGAUCCGUUACUGAGAGACUACUGGGUGUAUGAAGGAUCUCUGACCACGCCGCCUUGUAGUGAAAACGUGACCUGGAUCCUCUACCGCUACCCUCUCACCAUUUCACAGCUACAGAUUGAGGAGUUUCGAAGGUUGCGAUCCCACAUCAAAGGGGCGGAGCUGCCCGAAGGGAACGACGGACUGCUGGGAGACAACUUUCGUCCCACCCAGCCGCUCAGUGAUCGAACAGUUCGCGCCGCCUUCCAGUGACUCUCAAUGUCUUCUGCUGUCUCAGAAAAACUGUGGACCUACAUGAAUAGAUAUAAAGGGGAGAAGAAAGCAGUACGAGAAGAGGAGAGGAAACAGAAAGAGAGAAAUGAGGCUCUGGUUGUAUCAGCUGCAGACUGAAGGUGGACAAAGAAGCUAUUGAUCUCACAACUUCACCGUUUUGUGUGUGUGUGUGUGUGUGUGUGUGUGUGUGUGUGUGUGUGUGUGUGUGUGUGUGUGUGUGUGUGUGUGUGUGUGUGUGUGCAGGUAUGUUAUUCUAUUCCUGCACUGUUUCUCUCUCCCCCAUCUUUCCUACAGUGAGUCCAGCACCCCGUGGUUGUGUGUGUGUUGUACAUAUAUGUCGCUUAUUAUUGUUACAGUAGGUGAUGUGUUUGCUUUACUAGAUGAUAGGAGGCUUUACAAUCACAGCAGGAGGAAGUAUGAACAGCAGAUGUGCCAGAACAAACACACACACACACACACACACUGGAACGCACAAUCACAAAAAAGUAGUGUUUUAGCAAAUUCUGUAGAACUUUAUCUUGAAAGUGAAGUUGAAAUUACAGUUUUUCAGAUUGUGAUCAGCGGCUCCGCAUCCAAGCUGAAAGCAGAAGCCACAGGUUUCUUCUUGAUUGAACAGAUUCUACUUCACUGAUCAUUCAUCAUUAUUACUUUAUAACUGGCCUAACCGUCCUAAAGGACAAUCGAAGGCUUUAUUUCUAACCGGACUUUCUGAAAUGAUGCAUUUGAGCUGCUCACAGAAAGAGAAGUCUUGGAGCUGGGUGAUGUAAAUUAGGAGUGACAGAGAAACUCUCCCGGUAGAUCUUCCAAGGAAGUGUCUUUAGCAGCAAAAUCCCACCGGGUCAGGUUGUUUUUACUUCAGUGCUCUGUCAUGGUCUGAAGGUUGGAAUAAAAACAAAAAUCAAUAUGUUGUUGCAAUCUGGAGCUUGAAUGUUGAAUCAGUCAAGCCUACUCCCGACACACCCUUUAUGUUUUUCUUUUUUUGUUUAUAACUGUGUGUGUGUGUGUGUGUGUGUGUGUGUGUGUGUGUGUGUGUGUGUGUGUGUGUGUGUGUGUGUGUGUGUGUGUGUGUGUGUGUGUGUGUGUGUGUGUGUGUGUGUGUGUGU